CGCGUAGGUGGUUCACUAAGUGGGAUGUGAAAGCCCAGGGCUCAACCCUGGAACUGCAUUCCAAACUGGAGAACUAGAGUACGAUAGAGGGGGGUAGAAUUCAGAGUGUAGCGGUGAAAUGCGUAGAUAUUCUGAGGAAUACCAGUGGCGAAGGCGGCCCCCUGGAUUGAUACUGACACUGAGGUGCGAAAGCGUGGGGAGCAAACA
rnacentral:rRNA from 1 species